UAAGACAGAGGUGGCGAGCGUUGUUCGGAAUCACUGGGCUUAAAGGGCGCGUAGGUGGUAGUGCAAGUCCGUGGUGGAAUCCGGGAGCUUAACUCCCGAACUGCCAUGGAAACUGCGUUACUUGAGUCAGCGAGGGGAGGGUAGAAUUCCUGGUGUAGCGGUGAAAUGCGUAGAUAUCAGGAGGAAGGCCUGUGGCGAAGGCGGCCCUCUGGUGCUGGACUGACACUGAGGCGCGAAAGCGUGGGGAGCAAACAGGAUUAGAUACCCUGGUAGUCCACGCCCUAAACGGUGGAUACUAGGUGUAGGGCUCGUAAGGGUUCUGUGCCGAAGCGAAAGCAUUAAGUAUCCCGCCUGGGGAGUACGGCCGCAAGGUUGAAACUUAAAUGAAUUGACGG
rnacentral:rRNA from 1 species